rnacentral:rRNA from 1 species
UACGUAGGGGGCAAGCGUUGUCCGGAAUCAUUGGGCGUAAAGCGCGCGUAGGCGGCCCGGUAAGUCCGCUGUAAAAGUCCAGGGCUCAACCCUGGAAGGCCGGUGGAUACUGUCGGGCUCGAGUCCGGAAGAGGCGAGUGGAAUUCCUGGUGUAGCGGUGAAAUGCGUAGAUAUCUGGAGGAACACCGGUGGCGAAGGCGGCAUCCUGGACCGGUAUUGACGCUGAGGCGCGAAAGCUAGGGGAGCAACGGG